GUACACGCUGUGACUAGCAUAUCAAUAAGCGGAGGAAAAGAAACUAACAAGGAUUCCCCUAGUAACGGCGAGUGAAGCGGGAAGAGCUCAAAUUUGAAAUCUUAAAGGGUUUCCCUUUACGAAUUGUAGUUUAAAGAAGUGUUUUCUGUUGAGGUUUUGGUAAAAGUUCUUUGGAAUAGGACAUCAUAGAGGGUGAGAGUCCCGUAUUUGACCUUUACUUUCAACUUUGUGAUACACUUCAAAGAGUCGGAUUGUUUGGGAAUGCAGUCCAAAAUGGGUGGUAAAUUUCAUCUAAAGCUAAAUAUUGGCGAGAGACCGAUAGCGAACAAGUACCGUGAGGGAAAGAUGAAAAGAACUUUGAAAAGAGAGUUAAACAGUACGUGAAAUUGUCAAAAGGGAAGCGUUUGACACCAGUGUUGUUUUUCUGAAAAUCAAUUAAAGAACUGUUUAUGCUAAGCUGUUUAGACUUUAUCAGCUAUCUGUUUAGUUUUGAGCUUUUCUUUAAUGCACUUUUCAGUUAACAAGUCUAACAUCAAUUUCUUUUGCUGUAAAAAAGCUUGAGGAAGGUGGCUUGAGAUUCGUCUUAAGUGUUUAUAGCCUCUUGCCUAUGCAGUCGGAGAGAUUGAGGUCUGCAGCGUAGAUCCUUCGGGGCUAAAUGCGUUUGUGCUAAGUUAUAGCAUUUUAUAGACAACUUGUUGACUAUGAUUUGUCUUGUAGCUUACUCGCUUAUGUUAUUUUACCUACGCUUAGGAUGUUGACGCGCGUGUGUGCGUG
rnacentral:rRNA from 1 species